AAAUUGUACUGUGCUACCCCAUCUUGUUUGUAUCUUUACCAUCUCCCCUUCUUUAAUCUGUACCCAUGCAACUUUAUGCCUCAAUAAAAGAAAGAUUGACAAAAAAAAAAAAAAAUGCAAAAGACUAUGAACGCUACGUGUAUAUUUAUGAAUUUAUUUAACCCCUUAAGGACAUGACUGAAAUAUUCCGUCAUGAUUCCCUUUUAUUCCAG